AGACCGUGGUGUGGAUAAUAUCUCAAUUAGUCCUUAUACCUCUCCCAGACGUCGUACAUGCUCUUGUUGUCCAUCUGCACAAAAGAAGAAAUGUCAUUUAUCAAUUU
rfam:Ricinus communis cultivar Hale ctg_1100012357991, whole genome shotgun sequence.